rnacentral:rRNA from 1 species
AACGAACGCUGGCGGCAUGCUUAACACAUGCAAGUCGAACGAGACCUUCGGGCCUAGUGGCGCACGGGUGCGUACCGAGUGGGAACCUGCCCUUAGGUUCGCUAUAACUCCCCGUAAGAUGAGCUAAUACAAGUUAAUGUCAUCGCACCUAAGAUUUAUCGCCGUUGGAUGGGGCCGCGUUGGUUUAGCUAGUUGGUAGGGUAAACGCCUACCAACGCGACGAUCCAUAGCUGGUCUGUGAGGAUGACCAGCCAGGCUGGGACUGACACCCGGCCCACACUCCUACGGGAGGCAGCAGGAGGGAAUAUUGGACAAUGGGCGAAAGCCGGAUCCAGCAAUGCCGCGGGAGGGAUGAAGGCCUUAGGGUUGUAAAGCUCUUUUACCCGGGAGGAUAAUGACAGGACCGGGAGAAUGAGCCCCGGCUAACUCCGUG